rnacentral:lncRNA from 1 species
CGGCCGGCCGGGUCGUUACAUCCUCCCCCACUUAAACAUACGUUCGUCCUCGAACGUGUCAAGAGUUGUUCAAAAAGCCAAGAAAUGGCUGUGUAACUUUCCCAUGCACAUACCCAGGGGUGAUCCCACGUCACCCUAUCCCAUAUAGGUCUGAUAGCACAGCAUAACUGAAAUUCCUCAAUUCAACCUAGCUCACAAGCCUUCGAAUCAAAUUUCCGACAUCCGAAAUUUCUUAUAAGAUCAGAAGUUCGCAUCUACAUACCGUAUAAGUCUAAACAAGCUGUACCAAAAGCCAUACCCAUAACUCAAAUUCUCAAAUUCAAAUACCGCAUAGCUCGAAUGCUCGAAGCAAUGAUUUCAAAUCACAGUAUCGAUUCAAAUCAACCUAGUGCUGGUAAUAAGCAUCAUAUCAGACAAAACCUCGUUCUAAAACCUUCAUACACUGCCGAUGAUGAAAGAAACAUACCGAAUUCAUAACCAUUCAUUAGGCC